GCGGGACCCAUCGUCUCGGUGUGGCACCGAGAGCUGCGCAAAGCAAAUCAAAUAGAAAGCUUACUUUUCUAUAUUUAGCAAAUGAUGUCAUCCAAAACAGUAAAAGGAAAGGACCUGAAUUCAUUAGAGAAUUUGAAUCUGUCCUUGUGGAUGCUUUUUCUCAUGUUGCUAGAGAGGCAGAUGAAGGCUGUAAAAAACCUUUAGAAAGAUUGCUGAACAUCUGGCAAGAAAGAAGUGUGUAUGGCAGCAAGUUCAUACAGCAGCUGAAGCUGUCUAUGGAGGACUCCAAGAGCCCUCCCCCCAAAGCAACAGAGGAGAAGAAAUCUCUGAAGCGAGCUUUUCAACAGAUACAAGAGGAGGAGGAUGAUGACUACCCUGGAAGCUAUUCUCCUCAAGAUCCUUCUGCAGGACCGCUCUUGACUGAGGAACUAAUCAAAGCUUUGCAGGACCUGGAAAAUGCUGCAUCAGGGAAUGCUACUGUCCGACAGAAAAUUGCUUCUUUGCCCCAGGAAGUGCAAGAUGUUUCUCUGCUGGAAAAAAUAACAAACAAAGAGGCAGCUGAAUGUCUUUCAAAAACAGUAGAUGAAGCAUGUCUGUUACUAGCAGAAUAUAACGGGUGCCUGGCGGCAGAACUGGAAGACCGGCGCCAGCUGGCUUGGAUGUUGGUGAAGUACACCCAGAACCAGAAAGAUGUUUUGUCAGAAAAGAAGAAAAAACUAGAAGAAUAUAAACAGAAGCUUGCUCGGGUAGCCCAGGUCCGCAAGGAACUGAAGUCCCAUAUUCAGAGUUUGCCAGACCUCUCAUUGCUGCUCAACGUCACAGGGGGCUUGGCCCCCCUGCCCUCUGCUGGUGACCUCUUUUCUACUGACUAGGGCAGGUGCCAUGCCCCAGAUUGCCAUCUCUACCAGCAGAAAUAGAAUGGAUAGGAUUAAAAUCAACUGGUAUAAAUACAGAUGUAACAGGACAAUAAAGACAGAACCUGGCUAGGCUGCUGAUCAACUAAACGCUGUCUCUGUGUCAUUCCUUCUUUGCCAACUCCGUCCACACCUUUGGGAACCCCUGGGCCUGCUGGGGUUGGACCCCAACAAAGGCCCACCAAGAGUCAACCAUUAGCAUGAACUCAACUAUGAUCUAAAAGGGCUAAUUGCAAUUUGAAUGAACCACAGAACGACCAAUCUCUAUGACGAGCACUGACCACCAGGGGGCAGAUGCUCAAUGCAGGAGCUGCCCCCUGAUGGUCAGUGUGCUCCCACAGUGGGAGCACUGCUCAGC